GAGUGCUUUGGCGAUAUCAGGGGUGUUGCCAGUCUUUGACGACAUAGAGAAAAAUGUCACCGGGCAACGGAGCAGGUAAACAGGCUCCCUGGAUACGAGGGCACGUACACCGAAUCGAUGGAAUGUCCUUUGCUCUGUUUUUGCUGCAGGACUGCACGCUGACUGAGAGAACAGAGCGCGCGCACAUGGAAAGCACAUGGUCAUUUUCUGCUUUACCUUUCGACGAGAGUGGCGUUUUUUUGUGCCGAGCAGAAAAGAGAAUGGAAUAGAGCUCGGUUUCAACAUCCCCUAUCAUAAAUCUGGAUUAAAGAAGUGGUGGUUUUGACAUGACCGUUUCAUCUCGUCUGUCUGAAGUGUUACUCACUCACAUGUCUCCAGGCCCUGAGGCUGACUGAUGACGUGGGCCCAUGUGCAUUGUUACUGCAGAUUGGAAGACGACAAGAGGGGGAAAAACUCAUUUACUGCUAUGAAGUCAACUUGACAGUGACGCUGGCGCUGCCCAAGGUCAAAGACAGACACCUCUACUGCGAGCGCAUAAUAACGAAGCCUAGCAUUAACUAGACUGACAUUUAAACAGGGAGUUGUUGAAGAAGUCCAACUGCAACGCUGAUCUGAUAGAUAAUCAUCAGCUGGGAGGCACUCAUCAGUAUCGCAGAUCACAACGAGAGAGGAAGAAAUCUAGUGUGGGUUCAAAGAAUAGCGUCUGCUGUCAAAGACCAUGUCCCUGCUGGGAGACAAACCAGGGUGAACAAUCAGUAAUUAUGCAUGUCUCUACAAAUUGGAUACGGACAGCCAUCACACAAAUCUCAUUAAAUAUAACAUAGAAGAUCCAUAAAAAAAAAAAUCGACUAACCCUCACGAGACUGACAUUAUGAAGAUGUACUUUGUCAGUGCUGAGUCGUCUAUGCUAUAUGUUACAAAAUUAAAAGUAAAUGGCAGAGCUGAAAAGCAGGAGUCUGACUUCUGUAACAACAAAAAGAUGGAAGACUCUGACCUGAGUGUGUGUGAAAGCAAAAUACUCAGACCUGAAUGGUAAGAAUUUCGGUCCUCUGUAAAGUCUGUGCCAAAAAUGUUCUUCACAUGUACUUUAGGGGAAGAUACUAACUCUUAACUUUUUCAGCUGCUAAAGAAUGACAUCAACCUAGAAACUUAAUACACACGGCAACAUAAUAACAUCAAAAGAAGGAACUCAUCUUUUCUUGCCCGCCUCCACAGAGAAGUCAGAACUGAAGAACUACAGAGCUGCUCGAAAUUUUAAAACACUCAAGGACACCUAAGGUACAAAGAUAAUUGCUGCAUGGUCUACGGAAGCAAGAUGAGACCAGUUCAUAAUCUGUUUUUCAAUAGAGAACAGAGAUAACAAAAAAUAACCAGCUUCCAAUUGAAUAUAACUUAUUUAAGUGCUAGAAUUUAAAUGUACCACAGGAAAUGUAAUGUCAGGAGGAUGUCAAAUCCAAUUUCACACAAAUGUACAAGUGUUCUAUUGACAACUAUGGCCAAGCAUUGAAAUGGUCAUUAUUUAACUUUGAUAAAUACAUUAUUAAUAUUUUUCUGAAUAGAUCUGAUCCCUUGUGUUGUAAGAGUUUGAAUCUCAGUCCUCAGGUCCAAAGGCAUGUUAAGGCAGGCUCAUUAGAUGCCACAAAUAUUGACCCCUAACAUAUAUCUCUCAUUAAUAUCUCUCAUAUCUCAUUAAAAAAUAUGUACUAUAAAGAUCAUUUAAGACCAAAACACACAUUAUAAUAAAAAUAUCAAUGCCACCAUUAGCUGGCUAAAUCAUUAAAGCAAAUAUAGACUUGGUUGAUGCAAUUACUGAACCACCCAGGAUAUAUCACAGCCUGAUUCAUUAACCCUGCAUCAAGCACUCCCUUUGUGGAAGAUGUGAUCAAUAAACUUUGAGACUGUGUCAAGGUGUUGGCAAAUUUUGAAUUGCAUCAUAUCACCUCCUGCUUUUCUGUGCUGAUUUCAAAUCAAACAUAUAACCAUUUUAAAGUAGUUGAGUGUUUCCAUUGUGAUGUUGUACAUGGUUCAGCAUGAUACUACAGUUCCUUUCAAUCAAAUCUGAAACUUACUAGUCUCUUAUUUUGAAUGGCAUUUCAAUGAUAUUAAACUGCAGUUUCUAUCAAACCUUUGAUUAUGUCCUUUGAUCCUAUCUUUGUGUAUGUUUUUACAUAAAGAUAGAAAUUUAUGUGUGGAUAAAAGUAGGUUACCUAAAAAACAUAUUCAUUCAGUAGUUCAGAUAGGCUGGAUAGUGAUGGAUUUCCACAUAUAAGUUUAUCGUGAUAGAGUAAAUAUCCAGAAACUAAGUUGAGAAGGGGCUUAUUGAUUAAAAAUGGCAGACAGGAACAUCUAUUUUUGGUCACUGUUGUUAAAAAGGGGAAAAGAAAAUGACCUCACAAAUUAAGGAUUUCAUCACACUACUGCAGAAAUCCUGUGAAUCCAGUAUUGCAAAACAUAAAGUAAGUUACACCAUAACUAUGUUGAUACAAACUGUAUUGUAAAAUCUCUGACAAACUUUUUAUUACAUUGUAUAUACAAUCAUAUUGGCCAAUGUUACCGCAGAUGCAGCUCUGGCAUGUAUGCAAGUGACGUGAGGGAGCUGUUAAUACUCACUGCAAUGUCCAGCUGGUCCAAUGGGACAGCCUCCUCAGCUAGCAGUUGCACUGAAGAAUCAGCGUUGACUGUAAUUGACCCACUGCUCAC